rnacentral:tRNA from 1 species
GGGGAUGUGGUUCAGUGGCAGAACAUCUGCCUGGCAUGCAGAAGAAGAAGAAGAAUAGUUUGGAUUUAUACCCCACCUUUCUCU